UGAGGCUGCGAGAGAUGGUCAUGUCC
rnacentral:piRNA from 1 species